rnacentral:lncRNA from 1 species
CAACAGAAAGGUGGGUCUUACCGACAGCCCAGUAAUUCCCUGGGUGUGGAUAAAGACUCGGAGAAACCCAUUGGAAACUGGGCUAACAAUCAGAACAUUACAGAAACAUUACCUCAAGCUAUAGGAUGGUGGUCAAAAUCUUGGACAUCUUCAGAGAGGAGGAAUGUUUCAGGCCAGAGUGCACUCCUCCUGUUUACCAAAGCCCUCAUCCCAGUUACCAAGACCAACAUCUGGUUCCAGAGGGGAUCAAUUAGAGCAUCAGCAGACCACAGGUCUUCAGAUGAUGUCUACACCAGUUGUCUUUACGCCCAGGGCAACUGGCGCAUUCUGCAGCAGAGGCCCAGCAGCAGUUCCAGAGUGACCAGCAGUAGCAGUGUCAGCCAAGCCCAGGGGAGGCCAGAAGACAGUGCUCUGGGUAGACAAGAGAACAGCCCAGGGAGGGGGGUUGCAAGGCCCAGAGUCAGGGACAGACCAGUUCCUGCAUCCGAGGGAGGUGGGGGGCGCAGAGGCCCUCGACAUGGAGCUCCGGUCAGAAACAGAACAGAAUGUCCCAGAGUGCCUUGCAACGCCAAACAUGAAAACAGUUAUGGACAGCAGCAGGACAGAUGGCCGUGGAGGCCUUUCUCCAGAUCGCCGACACUGCGUCUAUAUCUGCCCCUCGACAUCAUUCUGUGAGGACGAAGAUGAAGACUUAGGAAAGGAGAGUGUGAGGUAAUGUAUGGUUUCAUUUAGAGCCUGUGUUAAGGGUGAUAUAAUGUCACACAGG